UUACAUCUCUUCGGAGCAUUUUACGAGGUGCUGCAUGGUUGUCGUCAGCUCGUGCCGUGAGGUGUCGGGUUAAGUCCCAUAACCGAGCGCAACCCCUACCUUUAGUUGCCAUCAGGUUAAGGCUGGGGACGUCUAAAGGAACUGCCUACGCAAGUAGUGAGGAAGCGGGGAUGACGUCAAAUCAGCACGGCCCUUACGCCCAGGGCUACACACGUGCUACAAUGGCCGAUACAGAGGGCAGCUACCUGGUGACAGGAUGCAAAUCUCCAAAGUCGGUCUCAGUUCGGAUCGGAGUCUGCAACCCGACUCCGUGAAGUUGGAUUCGCUAGUAAUCGCGCAUCAGCCAUGGCGCGGUGAAUACGUUCCCGGGCCUU
rnacentral:rRNA from 1 species